CUCAAAACCCUAAUCCCUCAAGAAUCUCUCAAAUUGAAGCCCAAAUCAAGAGCCAAAUCAUUGCAUGAACACAAAUUCGUGAUCACCUAGUCAUGGGGAUUACAAGUUGGCGCUUAAACAAGCUAGGUGAAGCUUGGAGUGAAAGCGGGUCAAACGAGUCAAGCAUAGAAGAAAAGCGUAGCUCGGAUGCAAGGUAAGUGUAAUUUACACACUUAUGUAGAAUGCUUGUUAUUUCGAUACUUAUGAACGUGAAAACAAUAAUAUUGGAAAUUUGGAAAAUUGUCAAGUGUUGACUUAUGUAAAUCAUGGUUAAAAAGGAUACCCAUGGCGUAAGCCGAAAUGGGUUGAAACUGCAAGAAAAGAGUGUAAAAGAAAAAGGGUAUGGUUAUAAAACCCGGGAUGGGAUGAUGUACAAAUUGGAAAUCAAAAACGGUGUUUUUGAUUUAAAUAGACAAUGUUGGGCAUAUAGUCCAAACGGGUCGAAUGGUGGUGAUAACACCGUUUGACAAUAUCGAUUAAUGUGGUCGUCAAGUCUUAUGUUAACAGGACUAAUUAGCAAAUCGGAUAGUUGCGUCAUCAUUGAUGGUGUGAUAAUAAAAGCGAGGCAUAAAUCGGGUCUAUUCGUUGAUCCGAGCCAGGUACUUUUGGAUGCCGGAAGACGAUCAAGCUCAGU